rnacentral:tRNA from 2 species
GCCGAUGUAGCUCAGUUGGUAGAGCACACGACUGAAAAUCGUGGGGUCGUCAGUUCGAUCCUGACCGUCGGCA